rnacentral:rRNA from 1 species
GGUUAAGCGACUAAGCGUACACGGUGGAUGCCCUGGCAGUCAGAGGCGAUGAAGGACGUGCUAAUCUGCGAUAAGCGUCGGUAAGGUGAUAUGAACCGUUAUAACCGGCGAUUUCCGAAUGGGGAAACCCAGUGUGUUUCGACACACUAUCAUUAACUGAAUCCAUAGGUUAAUGAGGCGAACCGGGGGAACUGAAACAUCUAAGUACCCCGAGGAAAAGAAAUCAACCGAGAUUCCCCCAGUAGCGGCGAGCGAACGGGGAGCAGCCCAGAGCCUGAAUCAGUGUGUGUGUUAGUGGAAGCGUCUGGAAAGGCGUGCGAUACAGGGUGACAGCCCCGUACACAAAAAUGCACAUGCUGUGAGCUCGAUGAGUAGGGCGGGACACGUGGUAUCCUGUCUGAAUAUGGGGGGACCAUCCUCCAAGGCUAAAUACUCCUGACUGACCGAUAGUGAACCAGUACCGUGAGGGAAAGGCGAAAAGAACCCCGGCGAGGGGAGUGAAAAAGAACCUGAAACCGUGUACGUACAAGCAGUGGGAGCACGCUUAGGCGUGUGACUGCGUACCUUUUGUAUAAUGGGUCAGCGACUUAUAUUCUGUAGCAAGGUUAACCGAAUAGGGGAGCCGAAGGGAAACCGAGUCUUAACUGGGCGUUAAGUUGCAGGGUAUAGACCCGAAACCCGGUGAUCUAGCCAUGGGCAGGUUGAAGGUUGGGUAACACUAACUGGAGGACCGAACCGACUAAUGUUGAAAAAUUAGCGGAUGACUUGUGGCUGGGGGUGAAAGGCCAAUCAAACCGGGAGAUAGCUGGUUCUCCCCGAAAGCUAUUUAGGUAGCGCCUCGUGAAUUCAUCUCCGGGGGUAGAGCACUGUUUCGGCAAGGGGGUCAUCCCGACUUACCAACCCGAUGCAAACUGCGAAUACCGGAGAAUGUUAUCACGGGAGACACACGGCGGGUGCUAACGUCCGUCGUGAAGAGGGAAACAACCCAGACCGCCAGCUAAGGUCCCAAAGUCAUGGUUAAGUGGGAAACGAUGUGGGAAGGCCCAGACAGCCAGGAUGUUGGCUUAGAAGCAGCCAUCAUUUAAAGAAAGCGUAAUAGCUCACUGGUCGAGUCGGCCUGCGCGGAAGAUGUAACGGGGCUAAACCAUGCACCGAAGCUGCGGCAGCGACGCUGAUGCGUUGUUGGGUAGGGGAGCGUUCUGUAAGCCUGCGAAGGUGUGCUGUGAGGCAUGCUGGAGGUAUCAGAAGUGCGAAUGCUGACAUAAGUAACGAUAAAGCGGGUGAAAAGCCCGCUCGCCGGAAGACCAAGGGUUCCUGUCCAACGUUAAUCGGGGCAGGGUGAGUCGACCCCUAAGGCGAGGCCGAAAGGCGUAGUCGAUGGGAAACAGGUUAAUAUUCCUGUGCUUGGUGUUACUGCGAAGGGGGGACGGAGAAGGCUAUGUUGGCCGGGCGACGGUUGUCCCGGUUUAAGCGUGUAGGCUGGUUUUCCAGGCAAAUCCGGAAAAUCAAGGCUGAGGCGUGAUGACGAGGCACUACGGUGCUGAAGCAACAAAUGCCCUGCUUCCAGGAAAAGCCUCUAAGCAUCAGGUAACAUCAAAUCGUACCCCAAACCGACACAGGUGGUCAGGUAGAGAAUACCAAGGCGCUUGAGAGAACUCGGGUGAAGGAACUAGGCAAAAUGGUGCCGUAACUUCGGGAGAAGGCACGCUGAUAUGUAGGUGAAGUCCCUCGCGGAUGGAGCUGAAAUCAGUCGAAGAUACCAGCUGGCUGCAACUGUUUAUUAAAAACACAGCACUGUGCAAACACGAAAGUGGACGUAUACGGUGUGACGCCUGCCCGGUGCCGGAAGGUUAAUUGAUGGGGUCAGCGCAAGCGAAGCUCUUGAUCGAAGCCCCGGUAAACGGCGGCCGUAACUAUAACGGUCCUAAGGUAGCGAAAUUCCUUGUCGGGUAAGUUCCGACCUGCACGAAUGGCGUAAUGAUGGCCAGGCUGUCUCCACCCGAGACUCAGUGAAAUUGAACUCGCUGUGAAGAUGCAGUGUACCCGCGGCAAGACGGAAAGACCCCGUGAACCUUUACUAUAGCUUGACACUGAACAUUGAGCCUUGAUGUGUAGGAUAGGUGGGAGGCUUUGAAGUGUGGACGCCAGUCUGCAUGGAGCCGACCUUGAAAUACCACCCUUUA